rnacentral:rRNA from 1 species
UACGGGGGGAGCAAGCGUUGUUCGGAUUUACUGGGCGUAAAGGGCGCGUAGGCGGCAAUUCAAGUCAUCUGUGAAAUCUCCGGGCUUAACUCGGAACGGUCAGAUGAUACUGCUUUGCUCGAGUGCGGAAGGGGCAAUCGGAAUUCUUGGUGUAGCGGUGAAAUGCGUAGAUAUCAAGAGGAACACCUGAGGUGAAGACGGGUUGCUGGGCCGACACUGACGCUGAAGCGCGAAAGCCAGGGGAGCAAACGGG